GACGAACGCUGGCGGCGUGCCUAAUACAUGCAAGUCGAACGAGAGCGACCGGUGCUUGCACUGGUCAAUCUAGUGGCGAACGGGUGAGUAACACGUGGGUAACCUGCCCAUCAGAGGGGGAUAACAUUCGGAAACGGAUGCUAAAACCGCAUAGGUCCUUUAACCGCAUGGUUGAAGGAGGAAAAGAGGCGCAAGCUUCUGCUGAUGGAUGGACCCGCGGUGCAUUAGCUAGUUGGUGAGGUAACGGCUCACCAAGGCCGUGAUGCAUAGCCGACCUGAGAGGGUGAUCGGCCACAUUGGGACUGAGACACGGCCCAAACUCCUACGGGAGGCAGCAGUAGGGAAUCUUCCGCAAUGGACGCAAGUCUGACGGAGCAACGCCGCGUGAGUGAAGAAGGUUUUCGGAUCGUAAAACUCUGUUGUUAGAGAAGAACAAGUGCUAGAGUAACUGUUAGCGCCUUGACG
rnacentral:rRNA from 1 species